AUUUAAACCAUAUUAAGUAGUAAGAAUAUCAACACAAACUUAUAUAUUUUGGCGGCAUUUCAUCUAUUUAGAGGAACCUGUCUUAUAAUCGAUAACCCACGCUAAAUUUCACUUUGCCCUAAAAUUUACAUACCGUCAUCUUUAAAUAAAUUUAAAAAUACAAUUUCAAAAAUUACUCUAAAAAGAUAGAUCAAGGCGUAAUCUAUAGUAAAGUUAAGAUGUGUUACUUUAAAAAAUAUUUAAGGAUUUUAAAUUAAAAUUUAAAAAUAAAAAGGAUUUAAAAGUAAAAAUCAAAAAUUAAUUGAUAUUGAAAUAGAUUAUUCAUGUGC
rnacentral:rRNA from 1 species